AGUGAACGCUGGCGGUAGGCCUAACACAUGCAAGUCGAACGGCAGCACAGAGGAGCUUGCUCCUUGGGUGGCGAGUGGCGGACGGGUGAGGAAUACAUCGGAAUCUACUCUGUCGUGGGGGAUAACGUAGGGAAACUUACGCUAAUACCGCAUACGACCUACGGGUGAAAGCAGGGGACCUUCGGGCCUUGCGCGAUUGAAUGAGCCGAUGUCGGAUUAGCUCGUUGGCGGGGUAAAGGCCCACCAAGGCGACGAUCCGUAGCUGGUCUGAGAGGAUGAUCAGCCACACUGGAACUGAGACACGGGCCAGACUCCUACGGGAGGCAGCAGUGGGGAAUAUUGGACAAUGGGCGCAAGCCUGAUCCAGCCAUACCGCGUGGGUGAAGAAGGCCUUCGGGUUGUAAAGCCCUUUUGAUGGGAAAGAAAUCCAGCUGGCUAAUACCCGGUUGGGAUGACGGUACCCAAAGAAUAAGCACCGGCUAACUUCGUGCCAGCCGCCGCCGUAA
rnacentral:rRNA from 1 species